UACGUAGGGUGCAAGCGUUGUCCGGAAUUAUUGGGCGUAAAGAGCUCGUAGGCGGUCUGUCGCGUCGGCUGUGAAAACUCGGGGCUCAACUCCGAGCUUGCAGUCGAUACGGGCAGGCUAGAGUUCGGCAGGGGAGACUGGAAUUCCUGGUGUAGCGGUGAAAUGCGCAGAUAUCAGGAGGAACCCCGGUGGCGAAGGCGGGUCUCUGGGCCGAUACUGACGCUGAGGAGCGAAAGCGUGGGGAGCGAACAGG
rnacentral:rRNA from 1 species